UGUGUCCUCACUCGGUGCUCACCUGUGGUCACUCGGUCAUGAUGUUGUCCAAUCCACCUGAAAGACUUGCCAGGCUAAAGAUGACGGGUCCCAGUGCAUGGUUUCUCCUCUCCCUGUGAAAGACAAAUGGCAGAGACAAGAAAAAAAGCAGGAAAUAACUUCAUCAACAAGGCAGACUGGCAGGUCUGGUUAGCUGAGAGCGAAGGGCAGGUGGGCUUGAUGCAUUCACUGGCCUCUAUCUUGCUCAGUCCCAUCUGUUCCUGCUUCUUCUAUCAGCCUGUUCUUCCUCGUCCACCUGCCUGUCUUUGGUGGACCAGUAGCGUGAUUGGCUCUGACACCGAUACUGCAGCUGUUGCACUAGGUCUUCUCAUUCCGAGCUCAAACUGAAGUCUUUAGCUUGUGAUGCUAGUGAUGAGUCCCAUUCUUUAAAUAAUGUUACAUGUAAUUUCUAGCUCAAGAAAAUACAUUCAACAGUAUAUAAAGAAAUCCAUUUGAAGUGCUAGUGCUUUGCAAGGCUGCAGGGGGACCGGUGUCUGUCCCAACACCCUCUGGGCAGAUGAUGGGCUAAACCACAAUCUAGAGAUCUUAAUUCCUCCUGGAUGGAAAAAAAAAUUGAUUGUCUUUCGAGAGAGCUCCUAUCUCAAGUGAUGCUCAUAGCUCCCUCGUAGUUCCCACCAGAUCAGACACACGGGCCAGCACCAAGAAAUAAAGAAAGGUGCAAUACACACCGGUGCAAGAUGCACCAAAAACACUGACCUGUGUGCCACAACCACGGUGAGACAAACUAUAUACAAAUGUACAAUAAUAACCCCUCAGUCAGCCGCGGUGCAAGACGCUACCGUGGAAGCCCUCUGGGGUAAAAAAAGAAAGAAAAAGAAUAGACCUUUUCCACGGCAGGAAAAGCACAGGUGUAUUCAAGA